rnacentral:lncRNA from 10 species
UCAAAGGGGGUUGAAGUUACAGUGGAAUGCAGAGGCUGAUCUAAGAGAGUCAAACAGGGCACAGAAGGUUGGUUUUAUUGUGCUAGGAGGAAUAGGUAGGCACAUGGUAGACAUCCCAUAAGCACUGGCUGAAUGAGUGAAUAAAUCAUGAACACAACGUGUUUUAUUUACUCAGUCAUCCAGUGCUUAUGGGAUGCCUAUUAUGUGCCAGGUGGCAUGCUCAGAGAAAGUUCACUUUCCAGUUGUGUUAGGAAGUAAGGAAGCCCAGGAAACAAGAUAGUCAAGAUUUUGUGAUAUCUCAGUGACUUAAAGAUUCACUUCUUCCCUAAAUAUUAAAGAACUGGAAAGAGCUACACGGGUGGCUGGAUAACUGGGUAAACUGAAAAAGAAGCAUUUGGUGGUAGGGGUAUACCCUGUCUUGGGUUACUAGGUCUGUGGUUAUGAAAUACCACAGUGAGUGGUUUAAACAAGUUUAUUGUCUCAGUUCUGGAGACUAAAAGUCCAAAAUCAAGGUGUCAGCAGGGUGCGCUCCUUCUGAAUGUGUGAAGGAAAGAGCUGUUCCAGGCUUCUCUCCUUGUUGGCUGGUGUGAUGGUUAAUAUUGAGUGUCAACUUGAUUAGAUUGAAGGAUGCAAGGUAUUGUUCCUAGGUGUGUUUGUGAGAGUGUUGACAAAGGAGAUUAACAUCUGAGUUGGUGGAGUGGGAGAGGCAGAUCCACCCUCAGUCUGGGUGGGCACCAUCUAAUCACAGCUGCUAGCAUAAAAGCAGGCAUGGAAAAAGCAGACUUGCUGAGUCUCUGGCCUCCAUCUUUCUCCCAUGUUGGAUGCUUCCUGCCCUCGAACAUCAGACUCCAAGUUCUUCAGCUUUUGGACUCUCGGACCUACACAAGUGACUUGCCAGGGGCUCUUGGGCCUUCAGCCACAGACUAAAGGCUGCCCUAUCAGCUUCCCUACUUUUGAGGUUUGGGGAUUUGGACUGGUUUCCUGGCUCCUCAGCUUGCAGACGGACUACUGUGGGACUUCACCUUGUGAUCAUAUUUGGCUGCCAUCAUCUCUGUAAUACCUUGUCGCUCCCGCUGAACUGUGAGUUCCUUGAGGACAGAGAAGGGACUCUGUAUCUCUUUCCCAUCUCUACAUCCUCAGGUCACAGAGCCUGGCACAACGUGGAAUUUCUUCUCACCAGGACAGUGCAUGCUGCGGCACUCCAUGAUGGUACCUCAUCCCUGCCUCUGAUGCCCAGUGCCAAUCACCCUUCUGCCGGCACAGUUACAACCUCGACUGCGUAGUUGACACAAUGCAACCCUCCAAGUUCCAGAAUGAUGCUUCUUUUCUAGGAGCUCCCAGAGAGCCAAAGCCUUGAGUGUCCCACACAGAACAGAUUCCCUCUCCCCAGCCUGGCAUCCCUCUUGGUCAUCCCAGCACCAAGAGGACUGUCUGAGCACCAAUGUCUCAAGAAGACUUUUGAUGACAACAGUGGAAACCAUUUCUUCAGCUUCUCUUUACAUUGUUUCUUUCUCUAGAAUCUGCAUGCAGGAUUUUCCCUCUGGAUUAAAUGACCAAUCUCUGAGACAGACACCCAUUUUCUUCUCCCAACCUUCCUCCCCAUCAUUCAUGCACUGAUUGUGUUUCUUCCACCAAAGGCUUUAAGUAAGUUGACUUGUGAAAACUUCAUCCCAGAGUGUCUACCUUACUAGUCCUUUAUAACUGCCUAUUGCAGGCAUUUUUUUCAGGUCAAAUGUGGGAUGUCUGCUACAUACCAAAAAGGAAACUGGGACUCAGAAAGGUUAGGAAAUGUGCCUGAAAACAUAUAAUAGACAUAUAUUGGACCAAGAUUAUAUCUUGCUAUGAAACCUGUCCUAAGGGCAUCUACCUCUUUCAGCAGAGGUAAAUUCAACUGCUUUGCCCUGAAUAUGAGAGAAUAGCACAUUCACCUUCCAUUAAUUCAUGCAACAAUGACGAGACUCCUCUUAAAGCCAGAUUAUAUAAAAUAAAUAGCUAAAAAGAUUUCGGCCUCUCCUCUGUGCCUUGUGUUUCAUUGUACUAACAUUUCUUUUUUUCAUAUUAUUUAUCCUCAAAUGUGAGUCACAUUUAAAAAAAGGCCAGUUGCUUAAAUCUGUUCAGAGACAGGGCAAGCCCAUUUCUAUGUGUGUGCUAACCCAAGCUGUUGCAUCUGACUUUUCUAAAGUUUAUUUCAACCUUUUCUCCAAAGUUUGGGGUCAUUCUCUUCCUUCAGGAGAGCUGUAUUUUUCAUCAAGCCAGAGCCCACCCACCUCACCUCUCCAUCUCUGGGGGUUCUAACUGCUGCCAUGUUGUUCUACUAGCCUUCUGGUUGAGCCAAGCCCAGGCAUUUCCUUCUAACAAGGUUCUCUGGGCUUCCUCUCCCCAUUUAGUGAGCCCUUUCCAGACCAGUUCCCAUGGGAACAGUGGUCCACAUUGCCGAGACACCAGCUGAGGGGAAGGAAGCCUUCUGUGGCCAGAGUAUCAAGAUCUCUCCAUGAAAAAUCAUCAGGACACAGAGUGGGCUGAGGCUCAACAUUCUGAGCUCCCUCUGCCUUUUCCUAACCCCAUGGCUACCAAGCCUGCUACACAUUAAUAUCACCUAAAGGGAGUUGGAUUCUAUUAGUCAGAAGUGGGACCCAGGGAUUGGCAAUUUUUUGUGAUUUUUAUCACAAAAUUUUAGGUAAUUUAGGUAAUUCUAAUGUUUAGCCAAGUCUGGAAACCACUGUUACAACCAAUUAGCAAUCCUACCAAAAUAUCCUGCAACCUAAGAAAUUUCUGGUUUCAUUUAUCAAACAAGGCCUCCCACUGAUGAAAGUUAGGGCCAGGCAAAAUGAUCCCAUUGCAAAAUCCAAUGCCUUUGUCUUUUCGCGCAUUCACUUGCUCACAGCUGAUUAUCAAGGACCUAUCAUGAGUCAGAUGAUAUUUUUGGGUAACAGUUCAUCAAAGGACAAUAGUUCUUGGUGAGAAGACAUCUACAAGAGCCCUCUGUAUAGGUCCUGCUCACUCUGGACAAUGUAAACCUAGCUCUAAUGCUCCGUGUAGACACCCAAGUAUUGACAAGUGAGAGUACUCAGGGAAUUUGGAUUUUAGAUGUCACACGUGGAGUGGGGGAUAGGAGUAGAUGAAACAGUUGGUGAUCUCGUGGAGGUUCAUGGACGCUUAUAGUAUUAUAAAAGUAAAGGUAUAUAACCAUGCAUGGCGAUGAUGACGAUGUAUCAUGAACAGAAAAUUAUGACUAAUCCAAUUCUGGUCAACUAUGAUCUAUUAGGAAAAAACAAUCAUUAUUUUUCUAACAAUUAUGAAAGGUUCUGUUGGGAAUCAUUGGAUCCAGACUUUAGAAUGAGAACUAAGGGCAAUUUAUUCUAUGUCCUUGUAUAUUUUGCAUUACAAAGGCUAUGUGGUGAUAGUUCUAGAGUCACUUUCCCAAAAGUUCUUAAAAGCUAUUAGCAUCACAUUUUUUUUCAGUAGAAAAUAAGUUAGAAAAAAGUAGGAUGUCAAACAAAUGCAUUGUAUAAAAUUAGACAAUGCAGAAUGAAUAGAAUAACAGAAAAAGACCCUUAAUUCUAAUAUUUACUAUAGGCAUUGUUAAAAUGUUGCCGUAUGUAACUUCCUUUCUCUGUGUGAUUGUGUGUCUAUAUAAAGAUUCUAUGGCCUGUAUUUUUAAUUUAACACUCUAAGUAAUUUCCUCUAUCAUUAAAUAUUUUAAAAUAAUCUACAUCAACAAGUAUUUAAAUGUGUGUGCCAGUUAUGUAUCUGACACUAGGUUUG